GGCCCGCUAGCUCAAUGGUAGAGCAAUCGCCUUUUAAGCGAUUGGUUACAGGUUCGAGUCCUGUGCGGGUCACCC
rnacentral:tRNA from 2 species